rnacentral:rRNA from 1 species
GACGAACGCUGGCGGCGUGCUUAACACAUGCAAGUCGAACGGAAAGGCCCUGCUUUUGUGGGGUGCUCGAGUGGCGAACGGGUGAGUAACACGUGAGUAACCUGCCCUUGACUUUGGGAUAACUUCAGGAAACUGGGGCUAAUACCGGAUAGGUGCUCCUGCUGCAUGGUGGGGGUUGGAAAGUUUCGGCGGUUGGGGAUGGACUCGCGGCUUAUCAGCUUGUUGGUGGGGUAGUGGCUUACCAAAGCUUUGACGGGUAGCCGGCCUGAGAGGGUGACCGGCCCCACUGGGACUGAGAUACGGCACAGACUGCUACGGGAGGCAGCGGUGGAGAAUAUUGCACAAUGGGCUGAAGCCUGAUGCAGCAACGCCGCGUGCGGGAAGACGGCCUUCGGGUUGUAAACCGCUUUCGCCUGUGACGAAGCGUGAGUGACGGUAAUGGGUAAAGAAGCACCGGCUAACUACGUG